UACGAAGGGGGCUAGCGUUGCUCGGAAUUACUGGGCGUAAAGGGCGCGUAGGCGGCACUGUUAGUCAGGCGUGAAAGUCCUGGGCUCAACCUGGGAACUGCGCUUGAUACGGCAGAGCUAGAGGAUGGAAGAGGCUCGCGGAAUUCCCAGUGUAGAGGUGAAAUUCGUAGAUAUUGGGAGGAACACCAGAGGCGAAGGCGGCGACCUGGAAGGUGACUGACACUGAGCAGCGAAAGCGUGGGGAGCAAACAGG
rnacentral:rRNA from 1 species